GAUGAACGCUGGCGGCAUGCCUAAUACAUGCAAGUCGAGCGAACAGAUGAGGAGCUUGCUCCUCUGACGUUAGCGGCGGACGGGUGAGUAACACGUGGAUAACCUACCUAUAAGACUGGGAUAACUUCGGGAAACCGGAGCUAAUACCGGAUAAUAUAUUGAACCGCAUGGUUCAAUAGUGAAAGACGGUUUUGCUGUCACUUAUAGAUGGAUCCGCGCCGCAUUAGCUAGUUGGUAAGGUAACGGCUUACCAAGGCAACGAUGCGUAGCCGACCUGAGAGGGUGAUCGGCCACACUGGAACUGAGACACGGUCCAGACUCCUACGGGAGGCAGCAGUAGGGAAUCUUCCGCAAUGGGCGAAAGCCUGACGGGGCAACGCCGCGUGAGUGAUGAAGGUCUUCGGAUCGUAAAACUCUGUUAUUAGGGAAGAACAAAUGUGUAAGUAACUAUGCACGUCUUGACGGUACCUAAUCAGAAAGCCACGGCUAACUACGUG
rnacentral:rRNA from 1 species